CAGCCACCAUCUCCUUGUCUUUGGAUACCCGCAUCAGUUUCAGUUGAGUUAAGCAAGACUUUAGAGAGGGAAAGGGAAUGGCAGAAACAAAAAUUGUGUUUUACUGUAGAACCAGCUGCUAUUCUACUGUAAGCCCCUUUCCUUUUCUUCUACAUUUGAAUCUGAUCAUUCUUGGUUCCUUUACUCUCUCUUUUUUGUAUCAGCUAUUGUUUGGAAAAGAAACCACCAUGGAUAUAUUACUGAAGCUACUAUCUUCUUAAACUUUGUCUGGGGUGUUUUAGAUCUCAAUAAACCAUUAACAAGUGACUAUUCUUCUUUUGGUGUACGAUAUUUUAACCCGACUGAUCUCCUCUAAAUCUUGCACACAGCUGCUCAUUGUCCAAGAACAGAGACAAGUUAGCGAGCUUGGUUGGCAUAAUUUGCUCCAAAUCUGCUAGUAGUUUUCAAAAACCAUGGCGUAACAAGCACCGAUCGAAGAAAUCAAGCUUUUGGUUGACGUAAUUUUCUUCUACAUCAUCUCUCCCUCAACAUCUCGGUGAGUUUUCCAUAGAUGUCACUUCUUCUUUGCUCUUGUAAUUUUGGAGUGGAUUUAGGUUUUGGGUUCUUAAGUGAUUGUGAUGAUAAAUUGCUGCACUAACAUGGGUUUCAAGUAUUCCGUGCAUAUGAGCUGAAAUUAAAUGGUUUUGUUAAUUUUUUUCUUGGAAAGAUCCUUGUUUUUUCAUUUGGUUUUAUGGGCUGUUCGUGUUUGACCCGUUAAUUAAUUGUUGAUAAUUAAUGGAACUAUUUUUUAUUCAAACUUAAGAGAUCUACCACUACAGAUUAAACAAGAUAAAAGCUAUGAAUUUUCCACUAGACUGCAUAUCUUUUUUCUUCUCUUGUAUGAAACUCUCCUGUUAACAUCAGAAACCUUGAAGAUAAGUGAUCUGGGGAGGUAUUUCUUUUAUAUUCAAGCUGUCAAAGGAAUAACAAGAAGAUAAAGCAACUAUGCUAGUUCUAGUUUGUAUCACAUCAUCAAAUUAUUUGUUUUAUACUUGUUAAUUAUUAAUUAAUGAAAACGAAUAUAAAUAAUUUAUUGUAUUUUUUAGUUAUUUAACCAUAUAUUUUAAGAUGUUUGCAAAAUUAUUUAUAAUUUUAUCAUACAAGUUUAUAUUAUAUUUUCCAUAUCAAUAUUAGCAUUACAUUACAAUUAUAAAUUACUAUUGCAAAGAAAACUAAACGAGUUAGCAAUUUUAUUGUAUGUCGUGGCGCUGUACACAUAAAUUUUAGGUUUUUUUUUUUUAAUCAUUAUUAAUUUUUUGGAUUCCACCUUUUGUUUAUGGUGUUUUUUGAGUUGAUGGUUUCUUCAGCUUGCAUAUUUAAAGAUUAAAGGUUUAGAUUAUGUUUUUGAACUUGAUUGGAAGCUAAUUUAACAAGAUAAAAUUUAAAUUUAUAACGAAGAUAAAAUUAAAAAAAAAUAAUCAAAUUUAAAACAAAAAAAAGGCAAGUCUUUUCUAAAAUUUGCAUGAAAGGUGCACUUUUGUCCAAAUAUUCUUCAUUGACUUUUAUUUUGAUCUUUUUAGUUUUAAUGUUUUAAUUUUUUUAUCCAAAAGUUUAUUUUUUUCACGUUCAUCCUUAAGGUUUUUGUUUUUUUAAAAAGAAAAAGUUAUUGGUAAAUGGAGAAGGAUAGAUAAGAUUAUUGGUUGGCCAUAUUCCGAUAAUAAAAAUCAUUGAUCUUGGUGUUAACAUGUUGCAUUUGACUAGAGAAGUUCCGUUGAAAUAUUGUUAAUCCUUUAUCUUGCCUAAAAAAAAAAGUAAAUUGGGGACCAAAGAUUUUUUUAUUUGGGGUAAUUUUUAGUUUUUUGAUCAAUUUCAAAUUAGUUAGAGGUUAUAUAUAUAUAUAUAUAUAUAUAUAUAUAUAUAUAUAUAUAUAUAUAUAUAUAUAUAUAUAUAUAUAGAUGUUAUGUUUAUGGGUUGUUUAUUUACUUUUUAAGUGUGAAAAAGAUUUGAAAAUGUGUUUUUCUUUUUUAUCCAAGAGGUUGAGACUCGACUUUUUGAUUGUCUCUUGUUUUGUUCUGUCUUUAGAUAGUAUUUGGAUAUGCUGGUGCGACUAAAAGAAAAGCAGUGUAACACAUGUUUGGUUACCACUAACUACAGUUUUUUUUUAUGCUGGUCCAGUUCAAACCUUGAGUUUAUGGUGUUUUUUGAGUUGAUGGUUUCUUCAGCUUGCAUAUUUAAAGAUUAAAGGUUUAGAUUAUGUUUUUGAACUUGAUUGGAAGCUAAUUUAACAAGAUAAAAUUUAAAUUUAUAACGAAGAUAAAAUUAAAAAAAAAUGAUCAAAUUUAAAACAAAAAAAAGGCAAGUCUUUUCUAAAAUUUGCAUGAAAGGUGCACUUUUGUCCAAAUAUUCUUCAUUGACUUUUAUUUUGAUCUUUUUAGUUUUAAUGUUUUAAUUUUUUUAUCCAAAAGUUUAUUUUUUUCACGUUCAUCCUUAAGGUUUUUGUUUUUUUAAAAAGAAAAAGUUAUUGGUAAAUGGAGAAGGAUAGAUAAGAUUAUUGGUUGGCCAUAUUCCGAUAAUAAAAAUCAUUGAUCUUGGUGUUAACAUGUUGCAUUUGACUAGAGAAGUUCCGUUGAAAUAUUGUUAAUCCUUUAUCUUGCCUAAAAAAAAAAGUAAAUUGGGGACCAAAGAUUUUUUUAUUUGGGGUAAUUUUUAGUUUUUUGAUCAAUUUCAAAUUAGUUAGAGGUUAUAUAUAUAUAUAUAUAUAUAUAUAUAGAUGUUAUGUUUAUGGGUUGUUUAUUUACUUUUUAAGUGUGAAAAAGAUUUGAAAAUGUGUUUUUCUUUUUUAUCCAAGAGGUUGAGACUCGACUUUUUGAUUGUCUCUUGUUUUGUUCUGUCUUUAGAUAGUAUUUGGAUAUGCUGGUGCGACUGAAAGAAAAGCAGUGUAACACAUGUUUGGUUACCACUAACUACAGUUUUUUUUUAUGCUGGUCCAGUUCAAACUGCGGUUGAAUUGCAAAAAGCAGUGUAACACAUGUAACACAUGUUUGGUUACAACUAACCACAGUUUUUUUUUAUGUUGGUCCUAGUUCAAACUGCGGUUGAAUUGCAAAAAGUGAAAAGCAAUUACAAGCGUGUUUGGUAUUGUGAUAGCUUUUGUGGUUGUGGUUUGAAAAAAAAUAGUUUAAUAAAAAAUACUUUUUGUGAGAUUGAUUUCAAACAAAGUUGGUGUUUGGUUAAAAUUGUGGUUGAAGUUGUGGUUUUAAAAAAAACAGUUUCUUGUGUUUGGUUAAAAAACUGUGGUUGAAAUUGUGGUGGAAAAAAAACAGUUUUGUGUUUGGUAAAACUGUGGUUUAAAUUGUAGUUAAAAAAAUAGUUUCUUGCAUUUGGUUAAUAUGGUUUGUGUUUUAUAUUUGAUUUGAGUUAAUUAAAAGGAUAUAUAUAGACACACAUAUAUAUAAUUCCAAAACAUAGGUGUUUUAUAAUUAUGAUUACAUAACAAAAUGAAAAAUCCUUAUGCAUUAUGUACUCCUGUAUUGUUCCAUCAAACUAUUUGCAAUUCCAUCGCAUACAAAAUCCAUACGUGAAGGCCUCUGUGAGCCUUGAAUGGCCGAAGCCUGAACAAUAUCAGGUAAAAAGUCAUCUGGAAUUAAAUUGGGGUUGCGAUCAUACUUAGAAAAAACUGCAUCGUCUUGUGAUCUCCUUCUAAUAUAGUUAUGUAGUGUCAUUGAUGCAACUACAAUCUUAACUUGUGUUCUGUAUGGAUAAGCAUGCAUGUUUUGCAAAAUUUUCCACUUCUGUUUCCAUACCUUAAAAGAAUGUUCGAUCACGUUAAGUAGUGACAGGUGUGCACGAUUAAACACUUCUUUCCGACCACUUGGUUGUCCAAACUAUCUAAAUUCUUGAAAGUGAUACCUCUAGCCUUUGUAGGGACCUAAAUCCAUACUCGUUUGGAUAUCCAGCAUCAACCAAAUAGUAUUUUCCUGAAAAAAACAACAUUGUAAUUUUAAACAAACUUAAAAAAAAUUAUAUUCCUUCAAUUACCAAAUCUUCAAUUUAGUCAAAAUCACAACCUUCUGGAGGUUUUGGAAAUUGAUAUUGCUAUUGUCAAUAGCCUCAAGAAAAAUACGCGUAUCGUGUGCACUGUCUUCCCAUCCUGCCCACGAACAUGAAUUGCAUGUGAAACUACAAGCGGCCAUGACAUUUUGUGUUGGUACACCUUUUCUUCCAAUAAAUGGAAUUUGAUUUGCAGAUAUGCAGGCACGAACAUGUGUUCCAUCAAUUGCACCGACACAAUUCUACAACCACAAAAACAUUAAGUACUCAUAAACAUUUAUAACAUAUUUCAUUACUCUUUAAACAACUUAAUUAAACUACUUAAUUAUACAAAAAUUCAUCUUACCUUGAAAUGUGGCAUAAAUCUUGGAUUCAUAGCAAUUUCUCUUGGUGUGCUUGUAAAUUGUGGAUCUACUGGUUUUAUGACUUCCACAACAAACAAACGUAAUGAUUUAAGCACUUCUUUAAAACAUCUACUAAUAGUUUCACCUGAAUGCUGGAAUCUUUCCUGCACUUGUCUAUUUGACGCCCCAACUGCUAUUGUAAAUAGAAACAUUGCACCUUUUCAAUAACGCUCAUUCUUCUUGAUGGUAUUAAGCCAUGGUGCGUUUCUAAUUCAGUGCACAGACUCAACAAAGUGGUUGCGUUCAUCCUGAACAUGUUAACACUUCCUUUCCAAUGACCACUUAAAACCUCUGUCAACCAACGCAUCCCUAUAUUAUACGAAACCAUACAUGGUUCUUUAUACAUAUAAUUAAUAUAAUACAUGUUUAUAGCUCCAGCUGUGCAUAUAAUUAAUUUUUUCAUAUCAAAAUGCCUCAUUAAAAUAAAUUCAUCGUCAUCAUCACUGUCAUCGUCACUGUCAUCAUCACUGUCAUCGUUACUAUCAUCGGCGUCGUUUCCAUCACUGUCAUCUCCAGCACCAGAAAAUGAGGCACCACUACCUUCACAACUAGGAUAAUUAAUGUGGUCUACAAUGCGGUUCAUUAUAUUAUCAUAAUUGCCAUCGAAAUCCCCAUUAAAUAUGUCAUUAAACCGUGAAUCAUCCAUAACUUCAAUUACAUGGAAACAAAAAAAAAAUUAUAUGUUGUUAAUAAAAAUAUUUAAAUAUCAUUCAAUAAAAAAGAAUUAUCAAAUAGUUGGUGCAACAGAAGUUUUUCAUACCUGUAAAGCCAACAAAAAACAGUGUGGUUGAGUUGAGAGGUUUGUUAUGAAGUAAAAAAAUUCUUUGAAAGUUGGCUUACAAAGAAUCCUCUUUAUAUAGAAAAAAAAACUCAAUGCUUUUUACAUCUCUUUUACAAGUUAUUUUAUUUAGCUUUCAAUAUAAGUACAUUAUCACAUGUAUAGACUGUAAAAGUAACAUAUAAUGUUAAUUUUACAGCUAAUAUAUUCUGACAUGUAUUUUUUUACUUCAUAACAAACCUCUCAAACCUCAACUGCAUUUCAUACAAGCAAGUAGAACACUGUUUUUUGUUGGCUUUACAGGUAUGAAAAAACUUCUGUUGCACCAACUAUUUGAUAAUUCUUUUUUAUUGAAUGAUAUUUAAAUAUUUUUAUUAACAACAUAUACUUUUUUUUUUGUUUCCAUGUAAUUGAAGUUAUAGAUGAUUCACGGUUUAAUGACAUAUUUAAUGGGGAUUUCAAUGACAAUUAUGAUAAUAUAAUGAACCGCAUUGUAGACCACAUUAAUUAUCCUAGUUGUGAAGGUAGUGAUGCCUCAUUUUCUAGUGCUGGAGAUGACAGUGAUGGAAACGACGUCGAUGAUAGUGAUGAUGACGAUGAAUUUAUUUUAAUGAGGCAUUUUGAUAUGAAAAAAUUAAUUAUAUGCACAGCUAGAGUGUAAGAUCUCACAUCGAAGUGCAUUGACUAGUAAGAUGCGUUUUGGGGUCAUGCGUGGCUGCCAAGAACAAAACCGUGAGGGGGACCUGGGUGGAAGCCCUGGAUUUGGGUGGACUAGGAGCCUAAAACGGAUAAUAUCUUGCUAGUGAGGUGGGGUGUUACAUUUGGUAUCAAAGUCGAGGACAACUCGUCUUAAGGUGGGGGAUUGUAAGAUCCCACAUUGAAAGCGAGCAUCCAAAGCCAGGGCCUUAUAAGUGCAUGCUCACCUUGACUAGUAAGACGCGUUUUGGGGUCAUGUGUGGUUGUCAAGAAUAAAACCAUGAGGGGGACCUGGGUGGAAGCCCUGGAUUUGGGUGGACUGGGAGGCCCAAAGCGGACAAUAUCUUGCUAGUGAGGUGGGGUGUUACAUGGAACUAUAAACAUGUAUUAUAUUAAUUAUAUGUAUAAAGAACCAUGUAUGGUUUCGUAUAAUACAGGGAUGCAUUGGUUGACAGAGGUUUUAAAUGGUCAUUGGAAACGAAGUGUUAACAUGUUCAGGAUGGACGCAACCACUUUGUUGAGUUUGUGCACUGAAUUAGAAACGCACCAUGACUUAAAACCGUCAAGAAGAAUGAGCGUUAUUGAAAAUAUGACAAUGUUUCUAUUUACAAUAGCAGUUGGGGCGUCAAAUAGACAAGUGCAUGAACGAUUUCAGCAUUCAGGUGAAACUAUUAGUAGAUGUUUUAAAGAAGUGCUUAAAUCAUUAUGUUUGUUUGUUGUGGAAGUCAUAAAACCAGUAGAUCCACAAUUUACGAGCACACCAAUAGAAAUUUCUAUGAAUCCAAGAUUUAUGCCACAUUUCAAGGUAAGAUGAAUUUUUGUUUAAUUAAGUUGUUUAAAUGAGAAUGAAAUAUGUUAUAAAUGUUUAUGAGUACUUAAUGUUUUUGUGAGUUGUAUAAUUGUGUGGGUGCAAUUGAUGGAACAUAUGUUCGUGCUUGCAUAUCAUCUGAAACUCAAAUUCCAUUUAUUGGAAGAAAAGGUUUACCAACACAAAAUGUCAUGGCCGCUUCUAGUUUCAACAUACAAUUCAUGUUCGUGUGGGUGGGAUGGGAAGGCAGUGCAAACGAUACGCGUAUUUUUCUUGAGGCUAUUGACAAUAGCAAUAUCAAAUUUCCAAAACCUCCAGAAGGUUGUGAUUUUGACUAAAUUGAAGAUUUGGUAAUUGAAGGAAUAUAAUUUUUUUUUUUAAGUUCUGUUAUUAAUUACCAUGUUGUUAUUAUUUGCAGAAAAAUACUAUUUGGUUGAUAUUGGAUAUCCAAACAAGUAUGGGUAUUUAGGUCCCUACAAAGGCGAGAGGUAUCACUUCCAAGAAUUUAGACGGCUUGGACAACCAAGUGGUCGGAAAGAAGUGAUUAAUCGUGCACACUCGUCACUACGUAAUGUGAUCGAACGUUCUUUUGGGGUAUGGAAACAGAGGUGGAAAAUUUUGCAAAACAUGCCUGCUUAUACAUACAAAACACACGUUGAGAUUGUAGUUGCAUUAGAAGGAGAUCGCAAGACGAUGUAGUUUUUUCUAAGUAUGAUCGCAACCCCAAUUUAAUUCUAGAUGACUUUUACCUGAUAUUGUUUAGGCUUCGACCGUUCAAGGCUCACAGACGCAUUCACGUAUGGAUUUUGUACGCGAUGGAAUUGCAAAUAGUUUGAUGGAACAAUAAAGGAGUACAUUAAUGCAUAAUGAUUUUUCAUUUUGUUAUGUAAUCAUAAUUACAAAACACCUAUGUUUUGGAAUUAUAUAUAUGUGUGUCUAUAUAUAUCUUUUUAAUUAAUUCAAAUCAAAUAUAAAACACAAACCAUAUUAACUAAAUGUAAGAAACUAUUUUUUUUUAACCACAGUUUUACCAAAUACAAAACUGUUUUUUUUUCAUCACAAUUUCAACCAUAGUUUUUUAACCAAACACAAGAAACUGUUGUUUUUUAAACUAAAACUUCAACCACAGUUUUAACCAAACACCAACUUUUUUUGAAAUCAACAUCACAAAAAGUACUUUUUAUUAAACUAUUUUUUUCAAACCACAACUACAAAAGCUACCACAAUACCAAACACGCUUGAAUUCCAUUGUUGAAGACAAGUUAUUCUUUUUUUAUUAAAAAAAAAUACAUGCACGAACUAAUCGCCCACCUAUCUUGAAAAAAAUGGCUAGGCAAGCAGACCUGUCCAUGUAGGUCCAUGCGAAUCUAGUCUUCUUUGUUAUGGGUUAGGCGUGCUGGCCCACACGAGCCAAUGCACAUAACCAUCUUUUUUUUUGGUUUUUAUGUUUUUUUUUUAUUUUAAUAAGAUUUUUUAAAAAUAAAUUAGUUAAAAAUAUAUUGAGGAUUUUAUUUUAGUUAACCUCAUUUUAUUUUUACUUAGUUUUUUAAUAAUAUUAUAAAUCUUUUUGUACAACUGAUCAUGAUAGUUUUUAGUUUUUUUUUUUAAAAAAAUUAUUCAUCGACUUUUCCACACGAUUAUAUUUAUCAUAUUAUAAUUAAAUAAAAAAUUGAUUUUAAAACUUUUCUCGCAACAUUGCGUGAAUACAUUCGCGUCAACAUUAUCAAAAAAAUAUUUUUUAUUAGAAUUUUCUUUUAUAAUUUUGAUAAAAUUUUCCUUAAAACAACUAAAUAUUCAGGUUAAGAAACUAUAAAAUAAAAUAAAAAUGUAAGUGCAUUAAUAAGAUAAAGAGGUUUUGAUUUGGAAGAUAUUUUUUUAUCAUUAUUUUAAAUUUUCAUAAUUGUUUGAAUAUUUAUUUAAUUAUUUUUUAAUUUUUAUCAAAUAAAAUGCAUAGCACAAUAAAGCUAUAUUUUUAUGGAGGAAAGUAGAUUAAUGAGAAAAGAAGGAAUUACACUAAUAAAUUAUUUUAUUUGGAUGAAAUUUAAAUUCUUAGUUUUCUUACAAAAAAAUAAAAUUAUUGAUAUAUAUUUAAAUUAAAAAAAAAUCUCAACUUUUGUAUUUAAUUUUUAGUAAUGCAAACAACUCUUUUAAACAUUUUUUUACAUAUAUAAUUUUUAAUUUAUUUACUUUUUAUUUAACAGUUAAAUUUUUCUUGAAGCUAAAAAACAUUAAAAAUAACUCCAAAAUUCUGAAAGCUCACAUCACAUCACCUCAUCGUAUCCAUUAAAAACUAUUUCCGGCCAAAACUUAUUUCUGGGUUGAAUAUUAAUUCACACAUCGCAUCAGUGAAAUAACUUGAAGUGGCUCGUCCUUCUGUAUGAAGUUAACCCUCUUCAAGCCUUCAAUUCGAACUCGCCAGGCUCACUGUAAUGCCUUUUUCUAAAUGCUCAAUCUUUUUUAUUCUGAAGCCCCUGGUCCGUAUUUCCUCAGGUACUGAAGUAUCUUUGUAGAUGCUCCGUCUUUGCCGCAC
rnacentral:lncRNA from 1 species